GGGAAAUGGCGGCGCCGCGAGGGGAGGCGGGGGAGCUCAUGGCGGCGGGGCCGGCCCCGCUCCUCCCGCGGCCGGAGGUGCCCGGGGCGGCCGGCCGGCAGCGGGAGCGCGGCGGAGCUCGGCACGGCCUCCCUCGCACACGGAGAGGCCCCGUCGCCGUGCGGCCGGAGCGCUCCCGUGCCGUGGCGACGAGGCCCGGCCUGCCCGGGGCUGGGCCCGGCAGCUGCCGCGCGGGGCCGUGAGGAGGCGAUGCCGCCCGCCCUGCCCAGGCCCCUUGUUCCUGGCUCCAGCACUGGGUGUGGAGGGACACUGGACAUCCCUUGGAUUAUGAUAGCUCUGGCACUGCCUCAGCAGUCCUGUGCCAUGCCUGGCGAUGACCAUGGGCCAUUCUCCUGAGCAGGCUGCUCUGUACUCAGCCACUGACAGCAUAACAACGGAGCUGUUUGGUACUGUGGAGUCCCAGUGUAAGGGUGUCUGAGCACCUUGCAUUUGGCUCAGAAAAUCUGUCCUUGCAACAGUCCAGCAAGGGGGUUGUGAAGUCCUGGGGACUUGUCAAUUCAGUUCACCAGUUGGAAAGUAGUUUGCCAGGUUAAAGCUAUGGUUUAAACACUUGAGGUGAAAGCUGGUGAAGGGGAGUGGAAUCAUGGGUUCACCAGCAGCCUUUGUGCAUUAGAAGCUCUGUUUGGAGGUUCAGAUGUCCUCAUACCUCUGCUCUGGUAUCUGUGUGUUACACUCUUUCAGGUAUUGACUUGAAAAUAAGAAUGGGGCUCUCAGUUCUUGGCUGAUAGGGGUAAAACAUGUUCCAGUGGGUAGAAGUUGGACCCAGAGUCAAGGAGUACGUUUUCAAGCAACGAAUGGUGCUUUCUCACCACUUCCAUCCCCUGCAGAGCUGUACCCUAGAGCUGCUGUUCCCUGGGUGGCCAUGCCAGCAUCAGCAGGGCACACAUGGCCACAAGCUGCUUUGCUCACUGGCAGACAAAGCAACUGAGUCUCUGGCCUGCUUACAGGAGGACUGACAAAGUGACCAAAACAAAGUUUUCUGCCCUGAAAACAUCUUAAUUCCUGGUAGGUUAAGAAAUGCUGUGCUGGUAUAGCUCAGUGUUGCUAAACCCAUCUUCUGAGGCUUUUGAAACAGAUACCCAAGAGCAGCUGGUACUAAUCACUGCUGUUAACAACAUACUCAGCUCCCGUUUUUGUGGUUUCUAAAGGCCUGUUUUUGCAAGACGUCUUUAAAGCUCUUUGAAAAAGAACAGACAAACUUUUGACACACAGUUCUAUGUAAAAUCUCUAGUUUUGCCAAUGGCAUUUAUUUGUAGAGACCCUGCAUAUUGUAGAGGCCACUGCUUGUUCCUGGCGAUUCCCUAUAAUGGAAACUUAAACCAAUGAUUUUUGUAAUGAAUGUGCAAUAAAUCUGUGGACAAGA